rnacentral:rRNA from 1 species
CCCUUAGAUGUUCUGGGCAGCACGCGCGCUACAAUGGUCUUCGCAAACGGAUGCAUUCUCGAAGGAGAAUGCCAAUCUUGGAAUCUAUGCCUUGGUCGGGACAGUUGCUUGCAAUUUUUCGACUCGAACCAGAAAUUCCUUGUAAUCGUGAUUCAUCACAUCACGAUGAAUACGUCCCUGCCCUUUGUACACACCGCCCGUCGCUCCUACCGAUCGAAGAGUUAGGUGAAUUGUUUUGAUCGAUAAGAUUUGACUAUGGUCAACUCUCGUUGUGAAAUUCUGUGAAUCUGACUGUUUAGAGGAAGGAAAAGUCGUAACA